rnacentral:ncRNA from 1 species
AUUAUUCCGCCGCCGGGCGGAACAGAAGCGUUUGUUUUCGCAUCGUUAGGCCUUUGAAGAUGCGGGGACGGGCGCAUGAUACGC